UCGCCUGUUUAACAAAAACAUUUUCUUUAGGUUUGAUUAAAGAUAAGGCCUGCUCAAUGAAAUUUAAAUGGCCGCAGUAUAAUGACUGUGCUAAGGUAGCAUAAUAAUUUGCCUUUUAAUUGGGGGCUGGAAUGAAAGGUUUUAUGGGGAAUAGCUGUUUCAGAAUAAAUAAAUUGAAUUUAAGUUUUGCAUAAAAACUUGCAAAUGUUCUUGAGGGACGAGAAGACCCUGUGGAUUUUUAUUUGUUAAAAAAUAAAUUUUAUAAUAUUUUAUUUUUUAUCCAAAUUUGGUUGGGAUGACAAUAAAAUUAACUUUAUUUAGAGGGUAAUAAUUAGAUCCUUUUUAAGGAAAAAAGAACAAAUUACCCCAGGGAUAACAGCGUAAUACUUUUGGACAGGACAAAUGGAUAAAAGUGUUUGCGACCUCGAUGUUGAAUUAAAAUAUCUUUAUUAAGCAUAAAUAAUAAUAGUAAGUCUGUUCGACUUUUGAAAUUUUACAUGAUUUGAGUUCAGACCGG
rnacentral:rRNA from 1 species